rnacentral:misc_RNA from 1 species
GAUGAAGAACGUAGUGAAAUGCGAUAAGUAAUGUGAAUUGCAGAAUUCAGUGAAUCAUCGAAUCUUUGAACGCACAUUGCGCCCCUUGGUAUUCCGAGGGGCAUGCCUGUUCGAGCGUCAUUAUAACCCCUCAAGCUCAGCUUGGUGUUGGGGCCUGCUGCACUGGCAGCCCUUAAAAUCAGUGGCGGCGCCGUCUGGCUCUAAGCGUAGUAAUUCUUCUCGCUAUGGAGACCUGGUGGAUGCUUGCCAUCAACCCCCAAUUUUUCUAUGGUUGACCUCGGAUCAGGUAGGGAUACCCGCUGAACUUAAGCAUAUCAAUAAGCGGAGGA